rnacentral:tRNA from 1 species
GAUAUUCUUGUGUGGUCCAGAACCUUAUAUGCAAUCGGUAAAAAGCAUCCUUAACGAGCUUCAGUUUGAUAUGAGCCAAUUGCACCA